UGGUGGUUCAGUGGUAGAAUUUUCGCUUGCCAUGCAGGAGAUCUGGGUUCGAUUCCCGGCCA
rnacentral:tRNA from 1 species